CCUCAGCCCCCACACAGUUUUUAAAAUGUUGAAUAAAUUAGCUUUAAAGGGUUAAGUACUUUUGAAGUCACGAUACAUGAUUGUAACACCACGUUAUGGUGACUCCAAAAUAUGAGCUUUGAAAACUAGUAAAAAGAUUUGUAUCAGUGUAUUCAAGUACCAGUAUGAGUGAAUAGAAGGGUCAUUAAAUAUUGACUGAAUAUUUUUCAACCAGGUAUCAAUGCAAGGGGCAUGAGAGUCACCAUGAGUGGUUCCAGAGUAUUCCUGACCAACACCUAACAUCAAGAAAUUGAACUACACAAGCAAAUAUGUUGUAGAUCUUACUGCAGGCAAGUUCAAACUAUUAUGUAUUUUAUUGCGGUGGCUCCACAGUGAAUGACGUCUCAUCUCCAAUUUACUCAUCACUACUUGGAUUACUGUUUUCCAAUGAAGUAGAAAUGAUUACUCAUAUCUGUUUAUACUUUCACCAUUUAGAAUUCUGGAACCACUUAAACUGGGGUAGUUUUGAAUUCCCCCGUCAGAUUUGUAAAGAAACACUUUGCUAUGACGCGGAAAUCUUACACUCCCUCCACAUAGCUAUGAAAACAAAAAAACAACCACAACAUAGUGCCUGUUUGAGGAGGAUAGCCUAGGAUCCUCCCCAGAGCAUGGUAAGAUUGUCUACUGAAGAACUAUCCCAGUCUGUUUCCAAUGCCUGAUUCCAGUGAGGCAUGGAACUUUCCAUCUUACUCAAACUUCAUUUACAGCUUUAAACUAUUAAACAGUUUGUCUAUAGGUUAGAAUUAGCUUCUCAAUGUGAGUGGCCCAAUAUUGCAUUGUUUGUCAUCUGGGCCCUCAGAUUGUUAUUACUGUAUAGGACUAGGGAUAUUAGGAAUUGACACUGUGCUAAUUUUGCAUUGCUGUCUAUGUAAUAAUAAACUAAAGUCAAUUGGG